CCUACGGGAGGCAGCAGUGGGGAAUAUUGCACAAUGGGCGAAAGCCUGAUGCAGCAACGCCGCGUGAAGGAAGAAGGCUUUCUGCUUGUAAACUUCUAUUAACAGGGACGAAAGAAAUGACGGUACCUGAGUAAUAAGCCCCGGCCAACUACGUGCCAGCAGCCGCGGUAAUCCGUAGGGGGCAAGCGUUAUCCGGAAUUAAUGGGUGUAAAGGGUGGGUAGGCGGCAUGGUAAGCCAGAUGUGAAAUCCAUGGGCUUAACCCAAGGAUUGCAUUUGAAACUAUCAGGCUUGAGUACAGGAGAGGAAAGCGGAAUGCGCGGUGUAGCGGUGAAAUGCGUAGAGAUUAGGAAGAACACCAGUGGCGAAGGCGGCUUUCUGGACUGAAACUGACGCUGAGGCACGAAAGCGUGGGGAGCGAACAGGAUUAGAUACCCGAGUAGUC
rnacentral:rRNA from 1 species